rnacentral:piRNA from 1 species
GUCAAGGUGUGAAGGUUUCUAGGAAG